rnacentral:lncRNA from 1 species
GGAAAGGAAAAAGUAAAACCGUCUUUAAUCACAGACAUAUGAAUCAUUUAUAAGGAAAACUUUACAGAAUCUACCAAAAAGUUACUAGAACUAAAAGGUGAGUUUAACAGGGUUUUUCGAUAUAGGUCAAUAUAUUUUGGAAAUCAAUUUUGUUUCUAUAUACUGGUAAUGAACAAAUGGAAGUUGAGAUUUGUAAAAAUACUCUUUACAAGAGCACUAAAAAUAUGAAACACUUAAGGAUAAUUAUGACCAAAAUUGUGCAAGACCUGUACACUAAAAAUCACCAGACAUUGCUGAGAGAAAUUAAAAAACAUCCAAAGAAAUGGAGAGAUAUGUGGUGAUUAUGGAUUAAGGGACAAUAUUGGUAAGGCAUCAUUUCCCGAAGGAUCUAUAGAGUCCAUACAAACUCAUUCAAAAUCCCAGCAGGCUUUAUUUGUAUAAAAUUGGAUAAUCAAUUCUGAAAGUCAUACGGAAAUGCAAAGGACCUAAAUUGCUAAAAUCACUGGAAAAGAACCAAGUUGGAGAACUUGCACUACCAGAUUUCAACACUUGUUAUAAAGCUACAGUAAUCAAGACAACAUGGUAUUGGCCAAAGGAUAAGCACAAAGAUCAACAGAACAGAAUGGAGUCCAGAAACAGACCCACACAUAUAUAUGGUCAAUUAAUUUUUUUCCAGCUUUAUAGAGAUAUUAUUGGCAUAUAACAUUGUGUAAGCUUAAGGUGUACAACAUGCUGAUUUGAUACACUUAUAUAUUGCAAAAUGAUUACCACCAUGGCAUUGGCUAACACUCAUCACAUCACAUAAUUACCAUUUCUUUUUUGUGGUGAGAACACUUAAAAUCUACUCUCUUAGCAACUUUCAAAUAUAUAAUACAGUAUUAUUAACUAAAAUCACCAUGCUGUACAUUAGAUCAGCAGAAUUUAUUUAUCUUAUAGCUGAAAGUUUGUCCUCUGUGACCAACAUUUCCCCUGUUCCCCAUGGUCAAUUGAUUUUUGACAACAAUACCAAAGCAAGUCAAAGAAAACGAAAAGAAAGCCAUGGUCUGGGAGAAAAUACUCACAAAACAUAUAUAUGACAAAGGACUUCUAUCUAGAAUACAGAAAGAACUUCUACCACUCAAUAAUAAGAAGGCAAAUAACCCAAUAUAAAUAUUUGAACAAACACUUCACCAAAGAAGAUAUACAGAAAGUAAAUAAGCACGUGAAAAAUUGCUCAAUAUUAUUAGUCACUGAGGACAUGUAAAAUAAACCACACUGAGAUCCCACUACACUCAUACUAGAAUGGCUAAAAUUAAAAAGAUGGAUGACACCAAGUUUUUGUGAAUGUGUGGAGGAAUUAGAACUCUCAUACACUACUGCUAAGAACGUAAUAAGUUACAACCACUUUGGAACACGGUCUGGCAAUUUCUUAAACAUUUAAACAUUUAACUAAUGUACGAUCUAAUUGUUCUAUUUCUAGGUAUGUACCAAGAAGAAAUUGAAACCUAUGUCCAUACAAAGACUCGUACACAUAUGGUCAAAGUAGCUUUAUACACAAUAGCUAAAAAACAGAAACACCUGCAAAGUCUAUUAUCAGAUGGAUAAAUCAAGGAGUGAAAGAUAUGAGACAAAAAGUAUGUAUUCCAUGAAUCCAUUUACAUAAAAUUUUAGAAAAUUACAAGCUAUUCUACAGAGACAGCAGAUCCAAGAGAUGAGAGAAGGGGGGAGGUAUGGAGAUGAGAAAGGCGUUAGAAAGGGGCAGGAGGAAACUUGGGGGUGAUGGCUAUGUUCAUGAUCUUGAUUGUGGUGAUGAUUUCACAGAUGCAUUAUAAUGUCCAAACUCAUCAAAUUGUGAAGUUGUAAGUCAACUAUACCUCAACAAAGCUGUAAAAAAAAAAAAAAACGCAGCCCCCAGUCCGAGACCCAGAUAUGCCGAUGAAGUAGCAGUAGGUAAGUACAAGGAUCAGCAUGUUUAACAAGCCUUCCAGGACAUGCUGAUGUAGGUGGACCCUGAACCGCACUUUGAAAGAUGCUGCUCAAGGAAAAUAUAUCUCUUGGCUGUACCAACCCAGCCAGGGGUACCAUAUGCCAGGCACAGUCGGCCAGUUUGCCCCAAUCGGCCAGGCAGGCAGGACUCACCCAACUGGAGCCUACACCCACGCUUUUUUCUUUCCUCCCUUUCUCUCUUCACGGGCUCAUCCAGAGGUUCAUUUGUACUUCCUGUCACUUCUUGUCUAGUGUUCUUACCUGUCACUCCUCUGGUUCUGGCUGGCCCUCCGCAAAAGUCUUCGCCUUGUGGCUUUAGACUUCUCAUUCCACUAAACACCCCCAAACUGCCAGAGCUCUCCCUGCCCUUAAACUGGAAGAAUCUCCAAAGUAAGAGAAAAGGCAUUACAAAGUUUCCAAAAUUUACUCAGAAAAGAUGUUCUUUUUGCCUGGGAAGGCUAAAACCACGUUCAGUCUAGCGGAAACGUGUUGAUGGGCUCUUAAAACACCUUUAUUUUUUCUUCCACAAAUUUUUGUCUCUUUUUCUGACUUCUAGUUUUGAGAUCUUGUGAUUUGAGGCAGGUGGGCAAUACAAGUGUUUAUUUUAUUCAUAUAGAAAAGUUUUUUUUUAAAAAGUGAGAAAUGGAAAUAAAAAUACAAUAAACUUUUUAAAAAACACUAAUAACCAUAAGGUUAAUGCGUUCUGACUUAUCAGUAGGUGUCUUUGUGUGAAUUAAAAAGGGUGGCUUUUAAUGCCUCUGGAAGUGAACCCAAACCCCAGCCUGUAAUGCCUCAAGGUUAAGAAAUUGAAACCCUAGGACAAUCAAUCACAAACAGCCAACCAGGCUUUCCCAAAUCGGGCAACCACUUCCGGUUUGGCACUACCCCAAUUCAAAUAGGUUUUCAAUCAAAUAAACUCCUAAAAUUUUUCAUAUGCCUCAGUUUAUCUUUUAACAAUAUCAAGACAUUGCCCAUUUGCGCCCCUCCCCCCACCCCGACCUUUGCCUGCCUUUCCUUCCGAAGUGAUUCCAUGCCUUCCUCUGGCCUGGUGUUGGGUCAUCAGCCUUGCAAUGGCCACUCUGUUCGAAGGUCACUUUGCUGGCAUCUGGUCCUCCGCUGUCAGGGAAAGCUGGCGGGAGACUCUCUUUCUCAGAGACAGGGGCAGCAUUAGUGCCCUCGGAGACGCCUCUGUGCCUCUUCUCCUCCUGAGACAAUGGAAACCUAAUUUGGAAAGCAGCUCUGGCUUGGAAGUCUCUGCUCACUCAGUCAAAAGAGUUUAUUUACAUAACAACAAUAAUCCUCUAAGUGGAUUGACUGCUUCCAAUUUGAAUAGUGCUUCUGGGUCCACUAUGGUGAUGAUAUCAGGCAGGUCUCUGCAGGUACCCAGAACUCUUAGCUCAGAGAACUAAAGAUACAAAAGAGAGGCAAAAAUGAGCUCACACAA